GUUUGCCUGUGUGUGGAUGGUGUUCAGCACCAAGGACAGGUGUGCUAACCUGUGUGUGGAUGGUGUUCAGCACCAAGGACAGGUGUGUUUACCU
rnacentral:pre_miRNA from 1 species